rnacentral:rRNA from 1 species
CCUACGGGUGGCUGCAGUGGGGAAUAUUGGACAAUGGGGGCAACCCUGAUCCAGCCAUGCCGCGUGUGUGAAGAAGGCCUUCGGGUUGUAAAGCACUUUAAGUUGGGAGGAAGGCUUGAUGGUUAAUAACCAUUAGGAUUGACGUUACCAACAGAAUAAGCACCGGCUAACUCCGUGCCAGCAGCCGCGGUAAUACGGAGGGUGCAAGCGUUAAUCGGAAUUACUGGGCGUAAAGCGCGCGUAGGCGGCCAUUUAAGCUAGAUGUGAAAGCCCCGGGCUUAACCUGGGAAUUGCAUUUAGAACUGUAUGGCUAGAGUAUGGAAGAGGAGUGUGGAAUUUCAGGUGUAGCGGUGAAAUGCGUAGAGAUCUGAAGGAACAUCAGUGGCGAAGGCGACACUCUGGUCCAAUACUGACGCUGAGGUGCGAAAGCGUGGGGAUCAAACAGGAUUAGAUACCCGAGUAGUC